UACAGUGAUAACUGCGGACAACGAGAUACAUUUUGCAAAAGUUGGACAAAGUUUCUUUGAAAUGUCUCACAAGAUUGUUCUCCGACUGUGCUUCUCAGUGCUUUUCUUAAGAGCUGGAGACUGGUGAGGCCCCGCCUCCCCCGCCUCUAGUGACUGCACGUCCCUGGUUCUAGUGGGUCCCUUUCUCUCCUUCGGGGGAACGACAAGGAGGCGGUGCCUGGAGAGGAGGAGGGGGGGCUUCGCAGAAAGGCGGGGCUGGUAUAUGGAGCGCCUUCACUUUCGGAAUCAGAGAGCUGAUGGAAGGAGCGGUUCCCUUCGGAGGCGGAGAAACCGGAAGAGGACGGAGGAGCCCGGUGGGGGAGGGAAGGAAGGAAG